CACGUAGGGCGCGAGCGUUGUCCGGAAUUAUUGGGCGUAAAGAGCUCGUAGGCGGCCUGUUGCGUCCGCUGUGAAAGCCCGGGGCUUAACCCCGGGUCUGCAGUGGAUACGGGCAGGCUAGAGGUAGGUAGGGGAGAAUGGAAUUCCCGGUGUAGCGGUGAAAUGCGCAGAUAUCGGGAGGAACGACCGGUGGCGAAGGCGGUUCUCUGGGCCUUACCUGACGCUGAGGAGCGAAAGCGUGGGGAGCGAACAGG
rnacentral:rRNA from 1 species